CGCUCGAUAUUAGCUCGCAAAAGAACCUGUUGCACCCGAAAACCCGAGCAAAAAGAAGAAGGAAAAAAAAACGAAGAAAGAGUGAUGCAGAGCCACACUCCGCCGGUGAUGCCGUCACCGGCUAGGCUCGGCCUGACCAACGCCCACUCCCCCUCCCUCCCUCCAAACCCCGGUCACAACCCUAAUCCUAACCCUAACCCUAAACCCGCUCCCUCCUCCUCGGUCUCCUCCUCCGCCACCGCCCCCACCGCUGGCCACCACCACCCGGUCACCGCCGCUACCACCACCUCCUCCGCCCUUCUCUCCCUCCUCCCUCCUCUUCCCCGCGGCCAGGCCCUCCUCGCCCAGAUGGCCUCCCUCGCCACCAAGCUAUUCGACGUCUCCCCCCACCGCGCCCACUGGCUCGCCUCCUUCCGCGGCUCCCUCCCCUCCUUCCUCCCCUCUGCCUCGGCCUCCGCCACCCCCCUCUCCUCCUCCUGCUCCUCCUCCACCUCUGCGGCCCCCUCGUCCGCCAAGGAGGUCGUCGCCCUCUUCACCGCCCUUCAAACCCAGAUCUUCGAAUCUGUCGCCGAGCUCCAGGAGAUCCUUGACCUCCAGGACUCCUGCCUCAAGAUCGCUGGCGAGAUCCGUGCCAAGGACUCCACCCUCCUCUCCUUCACCAAAAAGAUCCGAGAAGCCGAGCAGGUGCUCGACCAAUUGGUCGACGACUACUCCGACUACCGCCGCGACCCCAAGCGCCCCAAAUCCGACAAGGAUUCCUUCGAUUCCGGCUACUCCACUUCUCUCCGUUCCUCAUUAGAUCUCCAGGAGAUCCUUUCCUACGCCCAUCGGAUUAGUUACACCACAUUCGCCCCGCCGGAGCACGGCGCCGGGCUGGCCCCUCUACGUGGCGCCCUCCCUCCGGCGCCGCAGGAGAACGAGAUGCGUGCUUCACAACUCUACCACUUUGCUGACCUGGACGUCGGGGUGCCAAAGAAGGCGCCGGAGGCGAAGGAGAGGGUGGCGGACGCCCUGGCGGAGGUGCCGCUGAUGGAGCCGACCCCGCCGAGGGAAGAGGUCCCGGUGCCUAUUCCGCCGCCAAUGCUGCCGAUUACUGUUCCGCCUGGGUGGAGGAAAGGGAUGCCGGUGGAGCUGCCGAGCGAGCUCCCGCCGCCCCCACCUGGAUGGAAGCCUGGGGACCCCAUCACUUUGCCGUUGGAUGGGGUUGUGGUUGGUAAUAGGGAGGAGCAGCGGGUUGGUGGGGUUCCGGGAAUACCUGGCAUGCCUGCACCGCCGCCAAAGGCGCCGGAGGCGAUACAGGUCAAGUAUGUGCAGCUUGAUAUCAAUCCAGACCAGGAUGAUUACAGUAGCGAUUAUAGCAGUGAUGUGGGGAGCUCGGACGAGGAUGAUGAAGAUUGAUCAUUUGGCCAUAGCCAAAGCCAACUUAUCAUUCGGGAGGAUUUCUUUGGACCCAGUAGGCUUCUAUUCCCUCUGUUUUGUGUAGCCUUAUUGCUAAUGAUGCUGCUAGCUGUACUCACGCAAGAGCAAUAUGAGUAGCCGAUGUACCAAAAAAAAAAAAAAAAGAAGCUUACUGGAUUUACUUCUCAUACUAACAAAAGAGUCAGAUGGUGCUUUCUUGCUAGGAAGACCACCAUGUUAAUGUCUGACCGGCCUGUCAUGCUAAUCUGCUGUAAGACCAUGCCAUUCAGAUCCCUUUCCUCGUAUCAUACAAUGUGAAGCAGAAUACUGUUCUAUGCUGUCAAGCUGCGGACUGGAUCUCUAGACGGUGAUGAAUCUUUCUCAGGGAUGCCCAUUGGGUUAUAUGAUUAUAGUUUACUUCAAUGAAUCUGCUGCACAGAAGAAGUCGUCCUCUUGUGGACUAAGCUUAUGUUAAGCAAAGGGAAAUCACAAAAGCUCUGUUUUACGUGGUCCACAACUUAAAAGUUCUUCCCACAACUUGAAGUUUCGUCUCUGCUCACCACAGUUCGUGAUUUUUCCUUGUAAACAUACUGUGAUAUUUGAGAUGGCAAAUUCUAUGGCCACUGCUGUAAACAACCACGCUGCACCUAGGACUUGUGCUAUAUCCUUCAUGACGACUGCAUAGCUGUGCACUAGCCUUCACAUAGAUAAGGUGGGCAAUCACAUAGGAUCAAUGCUUUCACAUCAUAUCAUGAUUGGAAGUAGUUACUUCUUUGUUGCAUUCAUCCAAUAUCUCGCUCUUAUACAUUUAUCCACAAUCCUCUCUAUAGUCAUUUAAGCUUCCUAGUAGUAGUGUUCCAUUUUUUUUUCUUUUUUACAUGGAAUAAUUGGAUCUCUGGGCACGCGUGUGUGAAAUAAUAUACUAGACGUUUUGUUCCA